AGUGAACGCUGGCGGCAGGCCUAACACAUGCAAGUCGAACGGCAGCACAGUAAGAGCUCGCCUCUAAGGGUGGCGAGGGGCGGACGGGUGAGACAUACAUCGGAAUCCUCUUUUACGUGGGGGACUUCGGAGGGCAACUUAUGCUAAUACCGCAUAUGACCUACGGGUGAAAGCAGGAGUUCAUCGGGCCUUGCGCGACUGAAUGAGACGAUGCCGGAUUAGCUAGUUGGCGGGGUAAAGGCACACCAAGGCGACGAUCCGUAGCUGGUCUGAGAGGAUGAUCGGCCACACUGGAACUGAGACACGGUCCAGACUCCUACGGGAGGCAGCAGUAGGGAAUAUUCGGCAAUGGGCGAAAGCCUGAUGGAGCCAUACCGCGUGAGUGAAGAAGGUCUUCGGGUUGUAAAACCCUUUUGUUGGGAAAGAAAAGCUGCAGAUUUAUACACGGCUGUUUUGACGGUACCCAAACAGUAAGCACCGGCUAACUUCGUG
rnacentral:rRNA from 1 species